AUGAUGGGAGUUGCCGGAGUAUUAGGUGCGGCUCUGCUAUGCGCUAUUCAUGGAGCGACCGUAGAAAACACUCUAUUUGAGGACGGUGAUGGUGCAAAUACCUUCCGUGCUUUUAACCCAACUCAAGCUGAAGAAACUUAUUCAAUGGUCACUGCUAACCGCUUUUGGUCCCAAAUCUUUGGUGUUGCUUUUUCCAAUAAACGUUGGUUACAUUUCUUUAUGCUAUUUGUACCCGUCACCGGUUUAUGGAUGAGUGCUAUUGGCGCAGUUGGCUUGGCUCUGAACUUACGUGCCUAUGACUUUGUUUCCCAGGAAAUCCGUGCAGCGGAAGAUCCUGAAUUUGAGACUUUCUACACCAAAAAUAUUCUUUUAAACGAGGGUAUUCGUGCGUGGAUGGCNNNNNNNNNNNACCGGAGCCUUGCGCCGCCGUUGUGGAGCUCACCUGCGAGCUUGCCGAGAUGCGCUGCCCUCCAUCUUGAAGUGGAUGAGAGGUGA
rnacentral:rRNA from 1 species